rnacentral:rRNA from 1 species
GCACGAGAAAGCGGGGGCAACUCCGCAAGUACAGUGGCGAACGGGUGAGUAACACGUGACUAACCUGCCCUCGAGUGGGGAAUAACCUCGGGAAACCGGGGCUAAUACCGCAUAACAUCCGCGGGUGAAAGUCCUGCGGAUCAAAGGAGCAAUCCGCUUGAGGAGGGAGUCGCGGCUGAUUAGCUAGUUGGUGAGGUAACGGCCCACCAAGGCGAUGAUCAGUAGCCGGCCUGAGAGGGCGCACGGCCACACUGGAACUGAAACACGGUCCAGACUCCUACGGGAGGCAGCAGUGGGGAAUUUUGCGCAAUGGGGGAAACCCUGACGCAGCAACGCCGCGUGGAGGAUGAAGUCCCUUGGGACGUAAACUCCUUUCGACCGGGACGAAUGAUGACGGUACCGGUGGAAGAAGCCCCGGCUAACUCCGUG